rnacentral:misc_RNA from 1 species
GGAAUAAAAGUGUAACAAGGUCUCCGUUGGUGAACCAGCGGAGGGAUCAUUACCGAGUGCAAACUCAUAACCCUUUGUGAACCUAUAUCUGUUGCUUCGGCGGCUCGCUCUCGGGCGAGCCCGCCGGUAAUAUCAGUAUCUCUGUUUGAACCCGACGAUACUUCUGAGUGUUCUUAGCGAACAGUUAAAACUUUUAACAACGGAUCUCUUGGCUCUA